CCUGGUCUCCAGGUGCAGCGACAACAUGGACACUGAAGGAACCAACUAGGGGAUGGGGACUAUUAAAGAAGAUGUCCUGCGUCUGAUCCAGUCUCCUUGCUAAUAUGAGUACUUUACAUGUGUAUUCAGAAUGGACCCUGUAGGAGAUGUAGCUGUUGGGAAAAAAUAGAGACAAAUAAACAGUUGCUACAGAAGGAA